rnacentral:rRNA from 1 species
GACAGAGGGUGCAAACGUUGCUCGGAAUUACUGGGCGUAAAGCGCGUGUAGGCGGACCAACAAGUCAGGCGUGAAAUCCCUGGGCUCAACCCAGGAACUGCACCUGAAACUGUUGGUCUUGAGUGGUGGAGAGGGAAGCAGAAUUCCUGGUGUAGAGGUGAAAUUCGUAGAUAUCAGGAGGAACACCGGUGGCGAAGGCGGCUUCCUGGACACUAACUGACGCUGAGACGCGAAAGCGUGGGGAGCAAACAGG